GACGAACGCUGGCGGCGUGCCUAAUACAUGCAAGUUGAGCGCUGAAGGUUGGUACUUGUACCGACUGGAUGAGCAGCGAACGGGUGAGUAACGCGUGGGGAAUCUGCCUUUGAGCGGGGGACAACAUUUGGAAACGAAUGCUAAUACCGCAUAAAAACUUUAAACACAAGUUUUAAGUUUGAAAGAUGCAAUUGCAUCACUCAAAGAUGAUCCCGCGUUGUAUUAGCUAGUUGGUGAGGUAAAGGCCCACCAAGGCGAUGAUACAUAGCCGACCUGAGAGGGUGAUCGGCCACAUUGGGACUGAGGCACGGCCCAAACUCCUACGGGGGGCAGCAGUAGGGAAUCUUCGGCAAUGGACGAAAGUCUGACCGAGCAACGCCGCGGGAGUGAAGAAGGUUUUCGGAUCGUAAAACUCUGUUGGUAGAGAAGAACGUUGGUGAGAGUGGAAAGCUCAUCAAGUGACGGUAACUACCCAGAAAGGGACGGCUAACUACGUG
rnacentral:rRNA from 1 species